GACAAACCCAACUUGUUAUGAUACAAGUUUAAAUAUAAUUUUUUUGGAAAAACUUUAAAUAUCUCUGUAUUUAACGCUUUAUCACUUUAGUAUCUUGUGGUUUAGAAAACAUUAUUUUAAAAUUCUAUGAUAUUACUUUUUUUCCUUCCCGUUAGUCCUUUUGUUAAUUUUUUUCAUUAAAGUAUAUAGGAAAAGCUUAGGAUACCCCUUGCGUGGUUUAUCAAUUUUUUACUUUAUAAAACUAAGUAUUAUUCAAGUAAUAUACUUUAAACUGUACGAUACUAAUGGACAAAAAUGCUAAACCACAUGGGAUAUUUGAAGUUUUUCUUUUAUUUUUUAUCCUAUUCUAUGUAGGGAUGUCAACAUGACAGAUUCAAGGCAGGUUUUCAAAAAUCCGAAUCUAAAUGUGAAACCUAAAACCGAAGGAUUUUUAAAAUCUCAUCGAACCCAACCAAAAAUUCAAAACCGAAAUCCGAACUUAAAAGCCUGAAUCUGAAAUAAUUAUUUCGUUUUACCAUAUUUCAAAAAUAUAUUAUACUAAAAUUCAAAAUUUUAAAAUAUAUAUUCAAAUAUAAUAUCAAACAUUUAUAUAUAUAUUAUAUAAUGUAAAAUCAAUUCGGGCUUGAAUCGGGUACAAACAAAACUAAUACUCAAAUCUGAAUCCAUCCGUUUUUUGUUUUUUAUGCCAUAUCCGAAACCAAAUCU
rnacentral:lncRNA from 1 species